UACGUAGGGUGCAAGCGUUAAUCGGAAUUACUGGGCGUAAAGCGUGCGCAGGCGGUUUUGUAAGACAGAGGUGAAAUCCCCGGGCUCAACCUGGGAACUGCCUUUGUGACUGCAAGGCUUGAGUGCGGCAGAGGGGGAUGGAAUUCCGCGUGUAGCAGUGAAAUGCGUAGAUAUCGGGAGGAACACCAGUGGCGAAGGCGACUACCUGGCCUGUUCUUGACGCUGAGGCGCGAAAGCUAGGGGAGCAAACGGG
rnacentral:rRNA from 1 species